rfam:Oleiphilus sp. HI0009 HI0009_c34, whole genome shotgun sequence.
GGAGAGAAGGCUGAAUUGGUUCAGCAGCAGACUGUAAAUCUGUGGCCUUUGUGCGAUGGGGGUUCGAGUCCCUCUCUCUCCA